GGCUACACACGUGCUACAAUGGCGGUGACAGAGGGAAGCCAACCCGCGAGGGUGCGCCAAUCUCGAAAAGCCGUCUCAGUUCGGAUUGCACUCUGCAACUCGAGUGCAUGAAGUUGGAANNNCUAGUAAUCGUGGAUCAGCACGCCACGGUGAAUACGUUCCCGGGCCUUGUACACACCGCCCGUCACACCAUGGGAGUUGGUUCUACCCGAAGGCGCUUCGCCGACCCGCAAGGGGAGCAGGCGACCACGGUAGGGUCAGCGACUGGGGUGAAGUCGUAACAAGGUAAC
rnacentral:rRNA from 1 species